CACGUGCCAUCUGCUCCUGCCAGUCAAAGCACUCGUGACCAUUCAUCAGGCUAAUCAUGCACAUCAGCGCUACGCUGUGCGCAUCAGCCCCCAGCAGGACACGCACCUCCAGGUGGGAAGUGCUCCAGUUGCUGUGUGGAGAUGUCAAGAAGUGAUCAGGCUGAGUGCAUAAAUAUAUCGCCAGACAAAAUGAGGCUGGGAGCUCCCGCUCGUCUGCGUCCUACUUCAGGAAAAUUGCCAGUCUCCGCUAUUAGGGUUCUCCCAUCUCGCGUUCUCGCUGCCUCUCUCUCUGGAGCGGCUGAUGAAAGCCCGGGUCUGAUCUCGGGCUCUGAUAAAAAUAGAAGCCACAGGACGGUCCAAUCUGACACGCUGUCAACAUGAUUCCAGUGCUCCCACCACGGGCACGGGCCCCAGAGGAGCCGCAUUCGGGAACAGACCCGGACCCAGUUUCAGAACGGCUGUCGCUUAUAAAACGAGACAAACAAAAAGAGGAAACUGCACCCAGACCAGGAGCCCUCGAAAGACACUUGCUGUUUGAUUUUGAUUAAAUAAUUGGUGCAAUUGCU